rnacentral:rRNA from 1 species
CAGCCGCCGCGGGAAUACGAAGGGGGCUAGCGUUGCUCGGAUUUACUGGGCGUAAAGGGCGCGUAGGCGGACAGUUAAGUUGGGGGUGAAAGCCCGGGGCUCAACCUCGGAAUUGCCUUCAAUACUGGCUGUCUUGAGUGUGAGAGAGGUGUGUGGAACUCCGAGUGUAGAGGUGGAAUUCGUAGAUAUUCGGAAGAACACCAGUGGCGAAGGCGACACACUGGCUCACUACUGACGCUGAGGCGCGAAAGCGUGGGGAGCAAACAGGAUUAGAUACCCGAGUAGUCCCUGUCUCUUAUAC